rnacentral:rRNA from 1 species
GACAAACGCUAACGGUGUGCUUAAUACAUGCAAGUCGAACGGGCGAUGCAGAAGUGGCAACACUUAUGCAAAGCUAGUGGCGAACGGGUGAGUAACGCGUAGACAAUCUGCCUUGGAGAUUGGGACAACUAUUCGAAAGAAUGGCUAAUACCAAAUACUUUAUAUUAACCGCAUGGUUUUUAUAAUAAAGGGGGCUUUUAGCUCCCGCUUCAAGAUGAGUCUGCGUCCUAUUAGCUUGUUGGUGAGGUAACUGCUCACCAAGGCAACGAUGGGUAGCCGGCCUGAGAGGGUGAUCGGCCACACUGGGACUGAGAUACGGCCCAGACUCCUACGGGUGGCUG